AGUGAACGCUGGCGGUAGGCCUAACACAUGCAAGUCGAACGGCAGCACAGUAAGAGCUUGCUCUUACGGGUGGCGAGUGGCGGACGGGUGAGGAAUACAUCGGAAUCUACUUUUUCGUGGGGGAUAACGUAGGGAAACUUACGCUAAUACCGCAUACGACCUACGGGUGAAAGCAGGGGAUCUUCGGACCUUGCGCGAUUGAAUGAGCCGAUGUCGGAUUAGCUAGUUGGCGGAGUAAAGGCCCACCAAGGCGACGAUCCGUAGCUGGUCUGAGAGGAUGAUCAGCCACACUGGAACUGAGACACGGUCCAGACUCCUACGGGAGGCAGCAGUGGGGAAUAUUGGACAAUGGGCGCAAGCCUGAUCCAGCCAUACCGCGUGGGUGAAGAAGGCCUUCGGGUUGUAAAGCCCUUUUGUUGGGAAAGAAAAGCAGCAGGUUAAUACCCCGCUGUUCUGACGGUACCCAAAGAAUAAGCACCGGCUAACUUCGU
rnacentral:rRNA from 1 species